rnacentral:tRNA from 1 species
GGAGACGUGGCCGAGCGGUUGAAGGCAGCAGUCUUGAAAACUGCCGAGGAGGAAACUCCUUCGUGAGUUCGAAUCUCACCGUCUCCGCCA